rnacentral:rRNA from 1 species
GAUGAACGCUGGCGGCGUGCUUAACACAUGCAAGUCGAACGGUGAACACGGAGCUUGCUCUGUGGGAUCAGUGGCGAACGGGUGAGUAACACGUGAGCAACCUGCCCCUGACUCUGGGAUAAGCGCUGGAAACGGCGUCUAAUACUGGAUAUGUGACGUGACCGCAUGGUCUGCGUUUGGAAAGAUUUUUCGGUUGGGGAUGGGCUCGCGGCCUAUCAGCUUGUUGGUGAGGUAAUGGCUCACCAAGGCGUCGACGGGUAGCCGGCCUGAGAGGGUGACCGGCCACACUGGGAUUGAGACACGGCCCAGACUCCUACGGGAGGCAGCAGUGGGGAAUAUUGCACAAUGGGCGAAAGCCUGAUGCAGCAACGCCGCGUGAGGGAUGACGGCCUUCGGGUAGUAAACCUUUUUUAGCAGGGAAGAAGCGAAAGUGACGGUACCUGCAGAAAAAGCGCCGGCUAACUACGUG